GCCCUUGUUGAUUAAUGGAAAUCCCUCACUGUCUUUGGUGUCGAGCCUAGGCUUUCUAAGUGGGAGACGGAGGUUCGAAUCCUCCCAAGGGCA